CUUAGGGUUUGGGUUAGGGUUAGGGUUGGAGCUAGGGUUAGGGUUAGGGUUAAGGUUGGAGCUAGGGUUAGGGUUAGAGGGUUAGGAUUAGGGUGGAGCUAGGGUUAGGGUUAGGGUUAGAGCUAGGGUUAGGGUUGGGGCUAGGGUUGGGGUUAGGGUUAAGGUUGGAGCUAGGGUUAGGGUUAGGGUUAGGGUUGGAGCCAGGGUUAGGGUUAGGGUUGGAGUUAGGGUUAGUGUUGGAGCUAGGGUUAGGGUUGGGCUUGGAGCUAGGAUUUUUCUGAGUGCAAUGAACCAACUCCCGAGUCUCUAGGACGUUCCUAAAAAAAUUGGAUUUUUUCCCAUAGGAAUGCAUGGGAAAAAAAAUUUGAAAAAUUUUUUAAGUGCCAACCCAAUUUUUCACCUUCCAUAAUUGUGUUAGGAGCACGUUUCAGGGCACGGGGAGUCUAUAGAACCUAAUUAUGGGGGAAGUUUUUUGCAAAGUUUACUUAGGGCUUGGGUUAGGGUUAGGGUUGGAGCUAGGGUUAGGGUUAGGGUUAAGGUUGGAGCUAGGGUUAGGGUUAGGGUUAGGAUUAGGGUGGAGCUAGGGUUAGGGUUAGGGUUAGAGCUAGGGUUAGGGUUGGGGCUAGGGUUAGGGUUAGGGUUAGGGUUAAGGUUGGAGCUAGGGUUAGGGUUAGGGUUAGGGUUGGAGCCAGGGUUAGGGUUAGGGUUAGGGUUGGAGUUAGGGUUAGUGUUGGAGCUAGGGUUAGGGUUGGGCUUGGAGCUAGGAUUUUUCUGAGUGCAAUGAACCAACUCCCGAAUCUCUAGGACGUUCCUAAAAAAAAUUGAUUUUUUCCCAUAGGAAUGCAUGGGUUAGGUUUAGGGUUAGGGUUGGAGCUAGGGUUAGGGUUAGGGUUAGGGUUGGAGUUAGGGUUAGUGUUGGAGCUAGGGUUAGGGUUGGGCUUGGAGCUAGGAUUUUUCUGAGUGCAAUGAACCAACUCCCGAGUCUCUAGGACGUUCCUAAAAAAAAUAGAUUUUUUUCCCAUAGGAAUGCAUGGGUUAGGGUUAGGGUUAGGGUUAGGGUUGGAGCUAGGGUUAGGGUUAGGGUUGGAGUUGGAGUUAGGGUUAGUGUUGGAGCUAGGGUUAGGGGUGGGCUUGGAGCUAGGAUUUUUCUGAGUGUAAUGAACCAACUCCCGAAUCUCUAGGACGUUCCUAAAAAAAUUUGAUUUUUUCCCAUAGGAAUGCAUGGGUUAGGUUUAGGGUUAGGGUUGGAGCUAGGGUUAGGAUUAGGGUUAGGGUUGGAGUUAGGGUUAGUGUUGGAGCUAGGGUUAGGGUUGGGCUUGGAGCUAGGAUUUUUCUGAGUGCAAUGAACCAACUCCCGAGUCUCUAGGAUGUUCCUACAAAAAUUUGAUUUUUUCCCAUAGGAAUGCAUGGGUUAGGGUUAGGGUUAGGGUUGGAGCUAGGGUUAGGGUUAGGGUUAGGGUUGGAGUUAGGGUUAGUGUUGGAGCUAGGGUUAGGGUUGGGCUUGGAGCUAGGAUUUUUCUGAGUGCAAUGAACCAACUCCCGAAUCUCUAGGACGUUCCUAAAAAAAUUUGAUUUUUUCCCAUAGGAAUGCAUGGGUUAGGUUUAGGGUUAGGGUUGGAGCUAGGGUUAGGGUUAGGGUUGGAGUUAGGGUUAAUGUUGGAGCUAGGGUUAAGGGAUGGGCUUGGAGCUAGGAUUUUUCUGAGUGCAAUGAACCAACUCCCGAGUCUCUAGGACGUUCCUAAAAAAAUUAAUUUUAUCCCAUAGGAAUGCAUGGGUUAGGUUUAGGGUUAGGGUUGGCGCUAGGGUUAGGGUUAGGGUUAGGGUUGGAGUUAGGGUUAGUGUUGGAGCUAGGGUUAGGGUUGGGCUUGGAGCUAGGAUUUUUCUGAGUGCAAUGAACCAACUCCCGAGUCUCUAGGACGUUCCUAAAAAAAAAUGAUUUUUUCCCAUAGGAAUGCAUGGGUUAGGGUUAGGGUUAGGGUUGGAGCUAGGGUUAGGGUUAGGGUUAGGGUUGGAGUUAGGGUUAGUGUUGGAGCUAGGGUUAGGGUUGGGCUUGGAGGUAGGAUUUUUCUGAGUGCAAUGAACCAACUCCCGAGUCUCUAGGAUGUUCCUACAAAAAUUUGAUUUUUUCCCAUAGGAAUGCAUGGGUUAGGGUUAGGGUUAGGGUUGGAGCUAGGGUUAGGGUUAGGGUUAGGGUUGGAGUUAGGGUUAGUGUUGGAGCUAGGGUUAGGGUUGGGCUUGGAGCUAGGAUUUUUCUGAGUGCAAUGAACCAACUCCCGAGUCUCUAGGACGUUCCUAAAAAUGAUUUUUUCCCAUAGGAAUGCAUGGGUUAGGGUUAGGGUUAGGGUUGGAGCUAGGGUUAGGGUUAGGGUUAGGGUUGGAGUUAGGGUUAGUGUUGGAGCUAGGGUUAGGGUUUGGCUUGGAGCUAGGAUUUUUCUGAGUGCAAUGAACCAACUCCCGAGUCUCUAGGACGUUCCUAAAAAAAUUGAUUUUUUCCCAUAGGAAUGCAUGGGUUAGGGUUAGGGUUAGGGUUGGAGUUAGGGUUGGAGCUAGGGUUAGGGUUAGGGUUAGGGUUGGAGUUAGGGUUAGUGUUGGAGCUAGGGUUAGGGUUGGGCUUGGAGCUAGGAUUUUUCUGAGUGUAAUGAACCAACUCCCGAGUCUCUAGGACGUUCCUAAAAAAAUUUGUUUUUUUUCCCAUAGGAAUGCAUGGGUUAGGGUUAGGGUUGGAGCUAGGGUUAGGGUUAGGGUUAGGGUUGGAGUUAGGGUUAGUGUUGGAGCUAGGGUUAGGGUUGGGCUUGGAGCUAGGAUUUUUCUGAGUGCAAUGAACCAACUCCCGAGUCUCUUGGACGUUCCUAAAAAAAAAUAGAUUUUUUCCCAUAGGAAUGCAUGGGUUAGGGUUAGGGUUAGGGUUGGAGCUAGGGUUAGGGUUAGGGUUAGGGUUGGAGUUAGGGUUAGUGUUGGAGCUAGGGUUAGGGUUGGGCUUGGAGCUAGGAUUUUUCUGAGUGCAAUGAACCAAGUGCCAACCCAAUUUUUGACCUUCCAGAAUGGUGUUAGGAGCACGUUUCAGGGCACGGGGAGUCUAUAGAACCUAAUUCUGGGGGAAGUUAUUCGAAAAGUUUACUUAGGGUUUGGGUUAGGGUUUGGGUUGGAGCUAGGGUUAGGGUUAGGGUUAAGGUUGGAGCUAGGGUUAGGGUUAGGGUUAGGAUUAGGGUGGAGCUAGGGUUAGGGUUAGGGUUAGAGCUAGGGUUAGGGUUGGGGCUAGGGUUAGGGUUAGGGUUAAGGUUGGAGCUAGGGUUAGGGUUUGGGUUAGGGUUGGAGCCAGGGUUAGGGUUAGGGUUGGAGUUAGGGUUAGUGUUGGAGCUAGGGUUAGGGUUGGGCUUGGAGCUAGGAUUUUUCUGAGUGCAAUGAACCAACUCCCGAGUCUCUAGGACGUUCCUAAAAAAAUUUGAUUUUUUUCCCAUAGGAAUACAUGGGUUAGGGUUAGGGUUAGGGUUGGAGCUAGGGUUAGGGUUAGGGUUAGGGUUGGAGUUAGGGUUAGUGUUGGAGCUAGGGUUAGGGUUGGGCUUGGAGCUAGGAUUUUUCUGAGUGCAAUGAACCAACUCCCGAGUCUCUAGGACGUUCCUAAAAAAAAUUGAUUUUUUCCCAUAGGAAUGCAUGGGUUAGGGUUAGGGUUAGGGUUGGAGCUAGGGUCAGGGUUAGGGUUAGGGUUGGAGUUAGGGUUAGUGUUGGAGCUAGGGUUAGGGUUGGGCUUGGAGCUAGGAUUUUUCUGAGUGUAAUGAACCAACUCCCGAGUCUCUAGGACGUUCCUAAAAAAAAUUGAUUUUUUUCCCAUAGGAAUGCAUGGGUUAGGUUUAGGGUUAGGGUUGGAGCUAGGGUUAGGGUUAGGGUUAGGGUUGGAGUUAGGGUUAGUGUUGGAGCUAGGGUUAGGGUUGGGCUUGGAGCUAGGAUUUUUCUGAGUGCAAUGAACCAACUCCCGAGUCUCUAGGAUGUUCCUACAAAAAUUUGAUUUUUUCCCAUAGGAAUGCAUGGGUUAGGGUUAGGGUUAGGGUUGGAGCUAGGGUUAGGGUUAGGGUUAGGGUUGGAGUUAGGGUUAGUGUUGGAGCUAGGGUUAGGGUUGGGCUUGGAGCUAGGAUUUUUCUGAGUGCAAUGAACCAACUCCCGAGUCUCUAGGACGUUCCUAAAAAAAAUAGAUUUUUUUCCCAUAGGAAUGCAUGGGUUAGGGUUAGGGUUAGGGUUAGGGUUGGAGCUAGGGUUAGGGUUAGGGUUAGGGUUGGAGUUAGGGUUAGUGUUGGAGCUAGGGUUAGGGUUGGGCUUGGAGCUAGGAUUUUUCUGAGUGCAAUGAACCAACUCCCGAAUCUCUAGGACGUUCCUAAAAAAAUUUCAUUUUUUCCCAUAGGAAUGCAUGGGUUAGGUUUAGGGUUAGGGUUGGAGCUAGGGUUAGGGUUAGGGUUAGGGUUGGAGUUAGGGUUAAUGUUGGAGCUAGGGUUAAGGGAUGGGCUUGGAGCUAGGAUUUUUCUGAGUGCAAUGAACCAACUCCCGAGUCUCUAGGACGUUCCUAAAAAAAUUGAUUUUUUUCCCAUAGGAAUGCAUGGGUUAGGUUUAGGGUUAGGGUUGGCGCUAGGGUUAGGGUUAGGGUUAGGGUUGGAGUUAGGGUUAGUGUUGGAGCUAGGGUUAGGGUUGGGCUUGGAGCUAGGAUUUUUCUGAGUGCAAUGAACCAACUCCCGAGUCUCUAGGACGUUCCUAAAAAAAGAUUUUUUCCCAUAGGAAUGCAUGGGUUAGGGUUAGGGUUAGGGUUGGAGCUAGGGUUAGGGUUAGGGUUAGGGUUGGAGUUAGGGUUAGUGUUGGAGCUAGGGUUAGGGUUGGGCUUGGAGCUAGGAUUUUUCUGAGUGCAAUGAACCAACUCCCGAGUCUCUAGGACGUUCCUAAAAAAUUUGAUUUUUUCCCAUAGGAAUGCAUGGGUUAGGGUUAGGGUUAGGGUUGGAGCUAGGGUUAGGGUUAGGGUUAGGGUUGGAGUUAGGGUUAGUGUUGCAGCUAGGGUUAGGGUUGGGCUUGGAGCUAGGAUUUUUCUGAGUGCAAUGAACCAACUCCCGAGUCUCUAGGACGUUCCUAAAAAAAAUAGAUUUUUUUCCCAUAGGAAUGCAUGGGUUAGGGUUAGGGUUAGGGUUGGAGCUAGGGUUAGGGUUAGGGUUAGGGUUGGAGUUAGGGUUAGUGUUGGAGCUAGGGUUAGGGUUGGGCUUGGAGCUAGGAUUUUUCUGAGUGCAAUGAACCAACUCCCGAGUCUCUAGGGCGUUCCUAAAAAGAUUUGAUUUUUUCCCAUAGGAAUGCAUGGGUUAGGGUUAGGGUUAGGGUUAGGGUUGGAGUUAGGGUUAGGGUUGGAGUUAGGGUUAGUGUUGGAGCUAGGGUUAGGGUUGGGCUUGGAGCUAGGAUUUUUCUGAGUGCAAUGAACCAACUCCCGAGUCUCUAGGACGUUCUUAAAAAAAUUGAUUUUUUUCCCAUAGGAAUGCAUGGGUUAGGGUUAGGGUUAGGGUUGGAGCUAGGGUUAGGGUUAGGGUUAGGGUUGGAGUUAGGGUUAGUGUUGGAGCUAGGGUUAGGGUUGGGCUUGGAGCUAGGAUUUUUCUGAGUGCAAUGAACCAACUCCCGAGUCUCUAGGACGUUCCUAAAAAAAUUUGAUUUUUUUUCCCAUAGGAAUGCAUGGGUUAGGGUUAGGGUUAGGGUUGGAGCUAGGGUUAGGGUUAGGGUUAGGGUUGGAGUUAGGGUUAGUGUUGGAGCUAGGGUUAGGGUUGGGCUUGGAGCUAGGAUUUUUCUGAGUGCAAUGAACCAACUCCCGAGUCUCUUGGACGUUCCUAAAAAAAAUUGAUUUUUUCCCAUAGGAAUGCAUGGGUUAGGGUUAGGGUUAGGGUUGGAGCUAGGGUUAGGGUUAGGGUUAGGGUUGGAGUUAGGGUUAGUGUUGGAGCUAGGGUUAGGGUUGGGCUUGGAGCUAGGAUUUUUCUGAGUGCAAUGAACCAACUCCCGAGUCUCUAGGGCGUUCCUAAAAAAAUUUGAUUUUUUCCCAUAGGAAUGCAUGGGUUAGGGUUAGGGUUAGGGUUAGGGUUGGAGCUAGGGUUAGGGUUAGGGUUAGGGUUGGAGUUAGGGUUAGUGUUGGAGCUAGGGUUAGGGUUGGGCUUGGAGCUAGGAUUUUUCUGAGUGCAAUGAACCAACCAACCCAAUUUUUGACCUUCCAGAAUUGUGUUAGGAGCACGUUUCAGGGCACGGGAGUCUAUAGAACCUAAUUCUGGGAGUUAUUCAAAAGUUUACUUGGGUUUGGGUUAGGGUUUGGGUUGGAGCUAGGGUUAGGGUUAGGGUUAGGGUUGGAGUUAGGGUUAGGGUUAGGGUUGGAGGGUGGAGCUAGGGUUAGGGUUGGGCUUGGAGCUAGGAUUUUUCUGAGUGCAUGAACCAACUCCCGAGUCUCUAGGGUUCCUAAAAAUUGAUUUUUUCCCAUAGGAGCAUGGGUUAGGGUUAGGGUUAGGGUUGGAGCUAGGGUUAGGGUUAGGGUUAGGGUUGGAGUUAGGGUUAGUGUUGGAGCUAGGGUUAGGGUUGGGCUUGGAGCUAGGAUUUUUCUGAGUGCAAUGAACCAACUCCCGAGUCUCUAGGACGUUCCUAAAAAAAUUUGAUUUUUUUCCCAUAGGAAUGCAUGGGUUAGGGUUAGGGUUAGGGUUGGAGCUAGGGUUAGGGUUAGGGUUAGGGUUGGAGUUAGGGUUAGUGUUGGAGCUAGGGUUAGGGUUGGGCUUGGAGCUAGGAUUUUUCUGAGUGCAAUGAACCAACUCCCGAGUCUCUAGGACGUUCCUAAAAAAAUUUGAUUUUUUUCCCAUAGGAAUGCAUGGGUUAGGGUUAGGGUUAGGGUUAGGGUUGGAGCUAGGGUUAGGGUUAGGGUUAGGGUUGGAGUUAGGGUUAGUGUUGGAGCUAGGGUUAGGGUUGGGCUUGGAGCUAGGAUUUUUCUGAGUGCAAUGAACCAACUCCCGAGUCUCUAGGACGUUCCUAAAAAAAUUUGAUUUUUUCCCAUAGGAAUGCAUGGGUUAGGGUUAGGGUUAGGGUUAGGGUUGGGUUGGAGCUAGGGUUAGGGUUAGGGUUAGGGUUGGAGUUAGGGUUAGUGUUGGAGCUAGGGUUAGGGUUGGGCUUGGAGCUAGGAUUUUUCUGAGUGCAAUGAACCAACUCCCGAGUCUCUAGGACGUUCCUAAAGAAAAUUUGAUUUUUUUCCCAUAGGAAUGCAUGGGUUAGGGUUAGGGUUAGGGUUGGAGCUAGGGUUAGGGUUAGGGUUAGGGUUGGAGUUAGGGUUAGUGUUGGAGCUAGGGUUAGGGUUGGGCUUGGAGCUAGGAUUUUUCUGAGUGCAAUGAACCAACUCCCGGGUUCUAGGGUUCCUAAAAAAUUUGAUUUUUUCCCAUAGGAAUGCAUGGGUUAGGGUUAGGGUUAGGGUUGGAGCUAGGGUUAGGGUUAGGGUUAGGGUUGGAGUUAGGGUUAGUGUUGGAGCUAGGGUUAGGGUUGGGCUUGGAGCUAGGAUUUUUCUGAGUGCAAUGAACCAACUCCCGAGUCUCUAGGACGUUCCUAAAAAAUUUGAUUUUUUUCCCAUAGGAAUGCAUGGGUUAGGGUUAGGGUUAGGGUUGGAGCUAGGGUUAGGGUUAGGGUUAGGGUUGGAGUUAGGGUUAGUGUUGGAGCUAGGGUUAGGGUUGGGCUUGGAGCUAGGAUUUUUCUGAGUGCAAUGAACCAACUCCCGAGUCUCUAGGACGUUCCUAAAAAAAUUUGAUUUUUUUCCCAUAGGAAUGCAUGGGUUAGGGUUAGGGUUAGGGUUGGAGCUAGGGUUAGGGUUAGGGUUAGGGUUGGAGUUAGGGUUAGUGUUGGAGCUAGGGUUAGGGUUGGGCUUGGAGCUAGGAUUUUUCUGAGUGUAAUGAACCAACUCCCGAGUCUCUAGGACGUUCCUAAAAAAAAUUGUUUUUUUUCCCAUAGGAAUGCAUGGGUUAGGGUUAGGGUUAGGGUUGGAGCUAGGGUUAGGGUUAGGGUUAGGGUUGGAGUUAGGGUUAGUGUUGGAGCUAGGGUUAGGGUUGGGCUUGGAGCUAGGAUUUUUCUGAGUGCAAUGAACCAACUCCCGAGUCUCUAGGACGUUCCUAAAAAAAAUUGAUUUUUUCCCAUAGGAAUGCAUGGGUUAGGGUUAGGGUUAGGGUUGGAGCUAGGGUUAGGGUUAGGGUUAGGGUUGGAGUUAGGGUUAGUGUUGGAGCUAGGGUUAGGGUUGGGCUUGGAGCUAGGAUUUUUCUGAGUGUAAUGAACCAACUCCCGAGUCUCUAGGACGUUCCUAAAAAAAAUUGAUUUUUUCCCAUAGGAAUGCAUGGGUUAGGGUUAGGGUUAGGGUUGGAGCUAGGGUUAGGGUUAGGGUUAGGGUUAGGGUUGGAGUUAGGGUUAGUGUUGGAGCUAGGGUUAGGGUUGGGCUUGGAGCUAGGAUUUUUCUGAGUGCAAUGAACCAAGUGCCAACCCAAUUUUUGACCUUCCAGAAUUGUGUUAGGAGCACGUUUCAGGUCACGGGGAGUCUAUAGAACCUAAUUCUGGGGGAAGUUUUUUGAAAAGUUUACUUAGGGUUUGGGUUAGGGUUAGGGUUGGAGCUAGGGUUAGGGUUAGGGUUAGGGUUGGAGCCAGGGUUAGGGUUAGGGUUGGAGUUAGGGUUAGUGUUGGAGCUAGGGUUAGGGUUGGGCUUGGAGCUAGGAUUUUUCUGAGUGUAAUGAACCAACUCCCGAGUCUCUAGGACGUUCCUAAAAAAAUUUGUUUUUUUUCCCAUAGGAAUGCAUGGGUUAGGGUUAGGGUUAGGGUUGGAGCUAGGGUUAGGGUUAGGGUUAGGGUUGGAGUUAGGGUUAGUGUUGGAGCUAGGGUUAGGGUUGGGCUUGGAGCUAGGAUUUUUCUGAGUGCAAUGAACCAACUCCCGAGUCUCUUGGACGUUCCUAAAAAAAAAUAGAUUUUUUCCCAUAGGAAUGCAUGGGUUAGGGUUAGGGUUAGGGUUGGAGCUAGGGUUAGGGUUAGGGUUAGGGUUGGAGUUAGGGUUAGUGUUGGAGCUAGGGUUAGGGUUGGGCUUGGAGCUAGGAUUUUUCUGAGUGCAAUGAACCAACUCCCGAGUCUCUAGGGCGUUCCUAAAAAAAUUUGAUUUUUCACCAUAGGAAUGCAUGGGUUAGGGUUAGGGUUAGGGUUAGGGUUAGGGUUGGAGCUAGGGUUAGGGUUAGGGUUAGGGUUGGAGUUAGGGUUAGUGUUGGAGCUAGAGUUAGGGUUGGGCUUGGAGCUAGGAUUUUUCUGAGUGCAAUGAACCAAGUGCCAACCCAAUUUUUGACCUUCCUAAAAAUUUGAUUUUUUCCCAUAGGAAUGCAUGGGUUAGGGUUACGGGUUAGGUUGACUAUUAGGGUUAGGGUUAGGGUUGGAGUUAGGGUUAGUGUUGGAGCUAGGGUUAGGGUUGGGCUUGGAGCUAGGAUUUUUCUGAGUGCAAUUCCGAGUCUCUAGGACGUUCCUAAAAAAUUUGAUUUUUUCCCAUAGGAAUGCUUAGGGUUAGGGUUGGAUUAGGGUGGGCUAGGGUUGGUAGGGUUAGAGCUAGGGUUAGGGUUGGGGCUAGGGUAGGGUUAGGGUUAAGGUUGGAGCUAGGGUUAGGGUUAGGGUUAGGGUUGGAGCAGGGUUAGGGUUAGGGUUGGAGUUAGGGUUAGUGUUGGAGCUAGGGUUAGGGUUGGGCUUGGAGCUAGGAUUUUUCUGAGUGCAAUGAACCAACUCCCGAGUCUCUAGGACGUUCCUAAAAAAAUUUGAUUUUUUUUCCCAUAGGAAUGCAUGGGUUAGGGUUAGGGUUAGGGUUGGAGCUAGGGUUAGGGUUAGGGUUAGGGUUGGAGUUAGGGUUAGUGUUGGAGCUAGGGUUAGGGUUGGGCUUGGAGCUAGGAUUUUUCUGAGUGUAAUGAACCAACUCCCGAGUCUCUAGGACGUUCCUAAAAAAAUUUGAUUUUUUUCCCAUAGGAAUGCAUGGGUUAGGGUUAGGGUUAGGGUUGGAGCUAGGGUUAGGGUUAGGGUUAGGGUUAGGGUUGGAGUUAGGGUUAGUGUUGGAGCUAGGGUUAGGGUUGGGCUUGGAGCUAGGAUUUUUCUGAGUGUAAUGAACCAACUCCCGAGUCUCUAGGACGUUCCUAAAAAAAUUUGUUUUUUUUCCCAUAGGAAUGCAUGGGUUAGGGUUAGGGUUAGGGUUGGAGCUAGGGUUAGGGUUAGGGUUAGGGUUGGAGUUAGGGUUAGUGUUGGAGCUAGGGUUAGGGUUGGGCUUGGAGCUAGGAUUUUUCUGAGUGCAAUGAACCAAGUGCCAACCCAAUUUUUGACCUUCCAGAAUUGUGUUAGGAGCACGUUUCAGGUCACGGGGAGUCUAUAGAACCUAAUUCUGGGGGAAGUUUUUUGAAAAGUUUACUUAGGGUUUGGGUUAGGGUUAGGGUUGGAGCUAGGGUUAGGGUUAGGGUUAAGGUUGGAGCUAGGGUUAGGGUUAGGGUUAGGAUUAGGGUGGAGCUAGGGUUAGGGUUAGGGUUAGAGCUAGGGUUAGGGUUGGGGCUAGGGUUGGGGUUAGGGUUAAGGUUGGAGCUAGGGUUAGGGUUAGGGUUAGGGUUGGAGCCAGGGUUAGGGUUAGGGUUGGAGUUAGGGUUAGUGUUGGAGCUAGGGUUAGGGUUGGGCUUGGAGCUAGGAUUUUUCUGAGUGCAAUGAACCAACUCCCGAGUCUCUAGGACGUUCCUAAAAAAAUUGGAUUUUUUCCCAUAGGAAUGCAUGGGAAAAAAAAUUUGAAAAAUUUUUUAAGUGCCAACCCAAUUUUUCACCUUCCAUAAUUGUGUUAGGAGCACGUUUCAGGGCACGGGGAGUCUAUAGAACCUAAUUAUGGGGGAAGUUUUUUGCAAAGUUUACUUAGGGCUUGGGUUAGGGUUAGGGUUGGAGCUAGGGUUAGGGUUAGGGUUAAGGUUGGAGCUAGGGUUAGGGUUAGGGUUAGGAUUAGGGUGGAGCUAGGGUUAGGGUUAGGGUUAGAGCUAGGGUUAGGGUUGGGGCUAGGGUUAGGGUUAGGGUUAGGGUUAAGGUUGGAGCUAGGGUUAGGGUUAGGGUUAGGGUUGGAGCCAGGGUUAGGGUUAGGGUUAGGGUUGGAGUUAGGGUUAGUGUUGGAGCUAGGGUUAGGGUUGGGCUUGGAGCUAGGAUUUUUCUGAGUGCAAUGAACCAACUCCCGAGUCUCUAGGACGUUCCUAAAAAAAUUUGAUUUUUUCCCAUAGGAAUGCAUGGGAAAAAAAAUUUGAAAAUUUUUUUAAGUGCCAACCCAAUUUUUCACCUUCCAGAAUUGUGUUAGGAGCACGUUUCAGGGCACGGGGAGUCUAUAGAACCUAAUUCUGGGGGAAGUUUUUUGAAAAGUUUACUUAGGGUUUGGGUUAGGGUUAGGGUUGGAGCUAGGGUUAGGGUUAGGGUUAAGGUUGGAGCUAGGGUUAGGGUUAGGGUUAGGGUUGGAGCUAGGGUUAGGGUUAGGGUUAGAGCUAGGGUUAGGGUUAGGGUUGGGGCUAGGGUUAGGGUUAGGGUUAGGGUUAAGCGUCAGGUACCAUGGAGCGACAGAGUUGGUUUAUUCUCCCAGAGCAAACAGUCUGUUUUUUUUUGUUGUUGGCUAUUUAGCAAAAACUCCAAGGAAAAAUCUGAGAAAGUAUGAACUGAUCUGAGUUUUGAAUUUUCAGAGAGCAUUGAGAUGCAUAAAAAAUGUACGCAUCAUUUUUUUUAACAUCCAACCUCACAAGAUUUAAAAUACUAGAAGAAGAGCAUGAUAACAAGCAGCUGGAGAGAACUAUCCUCACUCUGAAGAGCCUGUCAGACACACAGUGGGCCUUUCGUAAGCAGACCACUGAAGCCCUGAUCCUGAUCCUCCCUGCCAUUGUUGCAACCCUGCAACGUGUCAAACACCAGACCAGCAGCACAUCUCGACAGCCUCUAAAGCUGAUGGCCUGCUGACAAAACCAUUUGAAUUCAUUUUAAUUGAAUUCAUUAAUGGUUGGGGAAAUAUUGGACUUUCUGUAGCCCCCCUAAGAAUGCUGCAAAUAUCUCUGCCCCUGCUAACAUCUUUUGUUAAACAUCUACAGCGUUAUUACUUUAGGCAGUUUUAAAUAAGUAAUAAAAGAGAUAAUGUCAAAAACUAAUAGACAGUUUCCUUUUCAUUGUAGGCACUCACGGCUUUCAUUGUUGGUUGAUUCUGUGAGAAUUUUGUGCCACUUUUGUGUGCUUCAGCGGCUGAUGUAGCAACAUAGAGGCUUGUGGGUACAACAACAAUGAGCUACAAUUCCAUCAGGAGCACUCAUGGCCAAGGCCAGCUCAGUACAGACUUUCCAAUUUCUUUAUUUCCUACAUAGUAGCCACACACAGGCACACUGCACCUUUGGAGCAUCCCUUAUCUUGACUAACAUUAUGUCUAUUUAAUCAAUUUACGCAGCUUGGAAAAUAGGUGUGGGAUUUAACAGAUCCCCUCCUCUCUUGUAUGCCUUUUAAACCUCUCUGGUUAGAGAGGAGAAGAUAGAGUCUCUUUAAAUUAGUUUUUUAAUUUUUUAUCUGCACACUUUUGAUGCACAUGGAGGUCUUAUUACAUGAAAUUAUCAUAAAGAUUGGUUCUGGUCAAGUUUAUAUUUAUAAAUUUACUAGAAAAGAGAGACCACGUGGAGCGGAAAGGGAUGCUGUUUCUAGUUAGCCAGGUUUAUAAAUAGCCAUAAGCUACAACAAGAACAGCAGGAAGGUAAUAUAUACCUGCAUAUAUUAUGUGUAUGGUGUGAAGGUUUAAAGCAACUCCAUGCAAGAAGUGUAAUCAAGUGCAGUCAUCCAACAAGCUUUUCAUAGAUCUUUCAACCACUUAUAACACCACUUGAUAAUGAAGGACCAUUCAACCACUAUAUAUUCUCUUUUUCUGUACUCUCGUGGUGAUGGUGUUACAGGCAGAAUCCAACAGCUCACUACAAAAUUCACUGUGUUCAGCAAAGUGUGCAUUUGGUGCCUGCAUGCACAGUCUGACAUGAUGAACUCUGUAAAACCAUCUUGGCCACCUCCUAAUAUAACAAACAUAAUCUGAAGAUUGUUGGGAUGAAUUUUAUUCAAUGAUUUUCUCUCUGCAGAGUAAAUUAACCUUUUCAAUUUAAACACGAGUUUGCUCAUUUUUGUCUCUGAAUGCUUUUCUUUUUACAGAGCAUAAUCUAGAUGGUAUGAUAAUGAUUUUAUUGAAUCAGCCCAUGGCCUUUCCUGAACUUGAUCCUCAUUAGAAGUUAUCAAAUAUACAUUAAGUUAUGGUCUUUUUGCUGUUAUUCCUUAGAGCACCAAAAAGGCACUGUGAGGAGUUUUUAACUAAUUUUGAAGGGGGUCUAACUGGUUUAUGCUUCUGUGCCAGAGUGGCUGACGUUGUAUUGAGCACUACGUACGUCUGCGUUGGAGUGUUCGCACCAGUCUGCAAUACUUAACUGAAAGGUCCCAUAUCAUACUCCUUUUCAGCAGGUUCACAUCGGUCUCAGAACAGUCAAUUUGAAGUUUGUUGUCUAAAAAAGAAAGGCUCCUGAAGAAAUUCCAACUGUGUCUGCAGCAGGACAUUUCUGAAUGGUUACUUAGAAGUAUUAUGUGUCUCCACAUUUUUCUUUGUACUUUGUUCGUGUGUUGGUACACAGUGACUAACAUGUAGCUAGGUAACAUUAGUUCAUGCUAAUGGUUACAUCUCCGCUGUCUUCUCGUUACUUGGAGCUCUUUUGGUGAAUGCACAAUAUUGUAAGUAUAGUUAUUUCUGGUGACCAUGUUCUUUCAGUCUACGGAAACAGACUUCUGUGCUGAUUUGUGCAGCCAACAAACUUGGCUGGGGAUACAUAUUAUUGUUAGAAAAGCAUUCUAAAGUGAAUUUUGCGUAAUGUGGGACCUAUAAAUAAUAGUUGCCUGUAAGAAGGAGGGCUGCCAGUUUAUUUUCCAUCUGUGGUGUAGUUCCCCAUGUCCUUCCUCAAAGGACCCCAUUAAGACAUCUAUCAAAACUCAGAUCUUUUAGUGUUUUGACUGUCUGUUCAGUGCUGUUGAUUGACUAACGUGUCUACUGAGGUCAAGAUUGACCUGGAUUGGCCAGGUCAUUAUGAGAGCGCCAUCUGCUGGAUCAUAUGAGAGCUACUUCAGGCGGCCUGAUGCUGGUAUACUGAAUAAUUACGUAUUUGAAUGGCUCAUUGAAAUUCAAAUAUAUGGCAUACUUUUCAUAUCACUGAUUUAUGUUGAUUGUUUCUGUCCAGGCAACUGAGCCCAGCAUGAUAUGCUAGGUUCAGUUUGACAAGCCAUAUUAAAAGGUUGGGAUUUUAGCAACAUCUGAAAACAUCUUUGAAAAAAAAAAAAAAAAGGAAUGCAUUUACCAAAUUGAUCUCGGAAGAUAUACUUUUUCAAGUGCAGAACUACUAUGCAAAUGUGGCAAAAUACAGUUACACAAGCCAUAUUUGAAAACCAAGUUUUUGAAUGGAGACGUAGUGGUUAAACUGUAUGUAAAUGUGACAUUGAGUACAUUUAGAUGUUGUUUGAAAUAAUUGGUUAUAGCAUUAGUCUGACCGAACAGAUCAUCAUGUAAUCAUUAAAGGUACACACACCUCUUGCUUACAUGUUUCUCAUGAUCUCAAUUUAAUCCACAUAUCAGCCAUGGAGCUGAAAUGACUGUGUUAUUAACAGAACACAACAUCUCUAAAGGUCCUCUGUAAGGGUGAUGAACUGCAGUACUUUUAAAUUCUCCAACAGACAAUCAUAACUCGACUAAAGCUGCCAUGAAAAGUCUUAUGAAGUGCUCACAAUCAAUGGUAUAACUCUGGAUUUUUACCAUUUAUACUGGCAAGCAGGCUGUAAAACCAGCAUCGAGUUCAUCAGUCCAAAACCACUGGUAAGUUAACAAAGAAUGGGGAGUAAAUCCAAAUUGGAGAUACUUCAAUUAGUUCCACUGAGUUGAAUAUACUAGCUCCGACUGAAAUAUACAGUACCAAACUCCUGGCCUUCUACAGAUGUGGAUUAUUUGAAGUGAGUCUGUUUGACUGGAAUCAGGCUCUCUGGGCUGGCAGCCAUUUCUGCUCAGACCAAUAUUUGAUGGAUUUCCUCCCUCAAGACUCCUAAUUAUUGCCCUUUAAAAACCCCUCAUCCUUAGUAAUGUUGUUUAAAAUUCAUGGUGCCUUUAACAGCUUGAUUCCCACAAAGAGCCAUGGGCUGCCACACACUGCUCUCCAGCUGAAGAAAUGUGAACCAAUGCCCCGGAUAACUGCUCUGUGUUCAGCAUUCAUCAAGAUAUAAAAACAUAGAUGCUGCCUGUGAACACAACAAUGGAAGUAGGAGAUGCUCAUGACGGUCAUCAGUUUUCAAGUAAAGAAUGUUGAUCUCAGUGAAAAUUGAGUUUCUCUUCUGUUCUGAUGAAAUUUUCCUGAACUCUGCACUUUUAAAACAGCUUAUUGGAGCACUUUGGGAAAACCUACGUGUACUGUCCUGGUUCAAAGUCGAGUAGUCCAAAUGAACUGAAGUGUCCUCACUCCUCCCAUUUGAUGUACGAUGCUCCGGGCGCUGACUUCUGGGUGAACUUGGAGAG